rnacentral:rRNA from 1 species
GAUCAUUAACAUUAAAUUUACCACACUGUUUUGGAUAAACACAAACCUUUAACCUUGAGUAUUCAACAAAGUUUAAUUAAAUAAAACUUUCAGCAACGGAUCUCUUGGCUCUCGCAUCGAUGAAGAACGCAGCAAACCGCGAUAUGUAGUGGACCUGCCCGUGAAACAUCAAUCUUUGAACGCACAUUGCCUUUGUAUGCGCGAAUGAGCAUUUAUCUUCUCAAACCUCUGGUUUGGCUUGUAUUUCAAAACUAAUAUUCCACGAUUUAUUAGUCACAUUUAUUUCUCAUUUGCGUAAGACUACCCGCUGAACUUAAGCAUAUCAAUAAGCGGAGGAAAAGAAACCAACAGGGAUUGCCUCAGUAACGGCGAGUGAAGCGGCAAAAGCUCAAAUUUGAAAUCCGCAAGGAGUUGUAAUUUGAAGACACUCAGUUGGCAGCGCAACAAGUUGCUUGGAACAGCACACCAUAGAGGGUGAGAGUCCCGUGUAGCGAAGCCUUUUACUGUAUGUCGACGAGUCGAGUUGUUUGGGAAUGCAGCUCAAAGUGGGUGGUAAACUCCAUCUAAAGCUAAAUAUUGGCGAGAGACCGAUAGCGAACAAGUACAGUGAUGGAAAGAUGAAAAGCACUUUGAAAAGAGAGUGAAACAGCACGUGAAAUUGCUGGAAGGGAAGGGCUUGCAGCCAGACAGCGUUCGCGCGCCUAGCGUUGGUUUGUGUUGGUAGAUAACAUCUUAGGAAUGUAGCAUGUUCGCAUGUAUUAUAGCCCGGGAAAAU